rnacentral:rRNA from 1 species
CGGAGGGUGCAAGCGUUAUCCGGAUUCACUGGGUUUAAAGGGUGCGUAGGUGGGCAGGUAAGUCAGUGGUGAAAUCCUUGAGCUUAACUCGAGAACUGCCAUUGAUACUAUCUGUCUUGAAUGUUGUGGAGGUGAGCGGAAUAUGUCAUGUAGCGGUGAAAUGCUUAGAUAUGACAUAGAACAUCUAUUGCGAAGGCAGCUCACUACGCAAAUAUUGACACUGAGGCACGAAAGCGUGGGGAUCAAACAGGAUUAGAUACCCUGGUAGUCCACGCCCUAAACGAUGGAUACUCGACAUACGCGAUACACAGUGUGUGUCUGAGCGAAAGCAUUAAGUAUCCCACCUGGGAAGUACGACCGCAAGGUUG